ensembl:lncRNA
AGUCACCCAUCCAACGCAGCUUAGGCCUCCUGUGGGAGGUAGCUACGGACACAUUCACCUUUUCUGUGUCAGUUGAUGUAAAACCGUUUACCCGUCGUGGAGUUCUCUCCAUGGUGAACAGUGUUUUUGAUCCCUUGGGUUUUUUGGCUCCUGUUGUAAUCCAAGGCAGAGCCCUUCUCAGAGAGCUGAAUUCUGAGGCUUCAGAGUGGGACACUCCAUUACCUGAAGAGAAAUUAGGCAAGUGGGAGGCUUGGCGAAACUCACUUCAAGAGUUGAAGCACUUCCAUAUUUCAAGGAUGUACACAGGCCUCUCUCUAACCAAGGCCGAACGCAUAGAACUCUGUGUGUUCUGUGAUGCUUCUACUAUGGCCAUUGGGGCUGUAGCCUAUUUGAAGACCAUCCAAGAAGACAUUGUUGACAUUGGAUUUGUCAUGGGGAAGUCUAAACUUGCUCCUCAAUCAGAGCCAACCAUACCGAGACUUGAACUAUGUGCUGCGGUUUUGGCUGUGGAAGUGGCUGAACUGAUUCAGGAUGAACUGGACUUGAAGCUAGAUUCCAUUAAGUUUUACACUGAUAGCAGAGUGGUCCUUGGAUACAUUCAUAACCAAUCCAGACGGUUUUAUGUAUAUGUCCACAAUCGAGUCCAGCGUAUUCGCCAGACCACAAAUCCUGAACAGUGGCACUACGUACGCACAGAGGACAAUCCAGCUGACAUUGCGUCAAGGUCUGUUCCAGCAUCACGUCUCACACAAACAAUGUGGUUCAGUGGACCUACCUUUUUGCGUAAGCUUUCCAGUCAACCAGAGCCUAUUCAGUCAUUCAGUUUAGUCUCACCAGAAUUGGAUGCGGAGAUUCGUCCGGAUGUGAAGAGUUAUGCCACCCAGCUACACAAGAAAGGUCUCAGCAUAGAGCGUUUUGAGAGGUUCUCCACCUUUAACACUCUCCAGCGAGCUGUGGCAUUCUUAAUUCAUGUUGCAAGAUCUUACAAGUCCCCUAACAUGAUGGACAAGUGUAGAGGAUGGCAUAAAUGUGAGCUGCCUCGCUCUCCGGAUGAGCUUUCCCAAGCCAGAGAAGUCAUCAUUAGAGCCGUUCAGAGAAAAGCAUUUGGAAAGGAAUUUGAAACUCUAGAAAGAGACAAGCCAAUUCCUAUAAACAGCUGUCUACGUCGUCUCAACCCUAUCUUGCAGAAUGA